GGUGAGGUCCGGUGUGUAACCGCGGUGAUACGGGGCAUAACUAUUAGGUUUCUCCCCCACCUUGGGAGGUUUGUCGGCCCAAACUCCUACGGGAGGCCCCCUCGGGAAUCUUCCUAAUGGACGCGGUUGCGCUCGAUCCACGACUCAUGACUGAUAACGCUAUCGGGUCUGACAACUCCCAUGCAGCACCAGUCAGUUUGGCCCCGAAGGUGAGGCCGGCUCGAUCGUAUCCGCCAAAAAAGUCUGUACCAACUAGGUGCCGUCCCCCGCGUUAAUACAAAAGAGGCAACUGCUCCCCCGAUUUAGGGGGCCUCCAGCAAUCCCUUGCGGUUUUUUCCCUGCGGUCGUAAACCCCCCCGGGCAAAAGCUUAAGAAGCCCAUCCGCAGCCUGUGGAAGGUUGAAACCCCACCAACAACUAUGAAACUCCCGUGUGUAGCGGGUGACUAGCGUGGAAUCUAGUCCUGAUUCCCAAUGGCCUGAGGUCGCGCCCCGGCUCUCUAUUACACACCAGACGCUCGCCAUCGCCGCUGGUGAUCUGCCAUAUAUCCCCGCGUUUUACCGCCACAAAUGGGAUUUACGCUGUGCUUUUUCAGGGCUCCCGGUCUC
rnacentral:misc_RNA from 1 species